rnacentral:rRNA from 1 species
ACUACGGAGAGUUUGAUCCUGGCUCAGGAUGAACGCUAGCGGCAGGCCUAACACAUGCAAGUCGAGGGAGAAUGCAGCAAUGCAGGGAACCGGCGGACGGGUGCGGAACACGUAUGCAACCUGCCCUAUCCAGGGGGAUAGCCCGCCGAAAGGCGGAUUAAUACCCCGUAAUAAUGCGUUCCCGCAUGGGUUUGCAUUUAGAGGAGCAAUCCGGGAUAGGAUGGGCAUGCGCAGCAUUAGCUAGACGGCGGGGUAACGGCCCACCGUGGCUAUGAUGCUUAGGGGCCCUGAGAGGGGCAUCCCCCACACUGGGACUGAGACACGGCCCAGACUCCUACGGGAGGCAGCAGUGAGGAAUAUUGGUCAAUGGGCUCACGCCUGAACCAGCCAUGCCGCGUGCAGGAAGAAGGCCCUCUGGGUCGUAAACUGCUUUGGGUGCCGGCGAACCGCGGGGACGUGUCCCCGCCUGACGGUAGGCACAUAACAAGCACCGGCUAACUCCGUGCCAGCAGCCGCGGUAAUACGGAGGGUGCGAGCGUUAUCCGGAUUUAUUGGGCUUAAAGGGUGCGCAGGCGGCCCGAUAAGUCGGCGGUGAAACCCGUGCGCCCAACGCACGGCCUGCCGCCGAUACUAUCGGGCUAGGGUAGAGGCAGCGCUUUUGGAAUGCGUCAAGUAGCGGUGAAAUGCACAGAUAUGACGCAGAACGCCGACCGCGAAGGCAGGGGGCGGGCCAUCUACCGACGCUCAUGCACGAAAGCGCGGGUAUCGAACAGGAUUAGAUACCCUGGUAGUCCGCGCCGUAAACGAUGAUAGCUGGCCGUGCGGGAGCGAUCCUGCGGGGCUGAGGGAAACCAUUAAGCUAUCCGCCUGGGGAGUACGCCCGCAAGGGUGAAACUCAAAGGAAUUGACGGGGGCCCGCACAAGCGGUGGAACAUGUGGUUUAAUUCGAUGAUACGCGAGGAACCUUACCCGGGCUCGAACGCCGCAGGGAUUAUCCGGAAACGGGUAAGCCAGCAAUGGCCUGCGGCGAGGUGCUGCAUGGCUGUCGUCAGCUCGUGCCGCGAGGUGUCGGCUUAAGUGCCAUAACGAGCGCAACCCCUGCCGCCAGUUGCCAACGGGUCAUGCCGGGGACUCUGGCGGGACUGCCGCCGCAAGGCGCGAGGAAGGCGGGGAUGACGUCAAGUCAGCACGGCCCUUACGUCCGGGGCUACACACGUGUUACAAUGGGGCGGACAGAGCGAAGCCACGCAGCGAUGCGGAGCAGACCGCAAAACCGCCUCCCAGUUCGGAUUGGAGUCUGCAACCCGACUCCAUGAAGCCGGAAUCGCUAGUAAUCGCGCAUCAGCCACGGCGCGGUGAAUACGUUCCCGGGCCUUGUACACACCGCCCGUCAAGCCAUGGGAGCUUGGAGCGCCUGAACCGCAUAGCCGCAAGGCGUGCCCAAGGGCGAUACAGGCGACUGGGGCUAAGUCGUAACAAGGUAGCCGUACCGGAAGGUGCGGCUGGAACACCUCCUUU